UUUCCGUAGGUGAACCUGCGGAAGGAUCAUUAUCGAGUUUUGACUGGGUUGUAGCCGGCCUUCCGAGGAGUGUGCACGCCCUGCUCAUCCACUCUACACCUGUGCACUUACUGUGGGUAUCAGAUCGUGAAGCGUGCUCUUUUACCGGAGCUUGUGAAGCGUGUCUGUGCCUGCGUUUAUCACAAACACUAUAAAGUAUCAGAAUGUGUAUUACGAUGUAACGCAUCUAUAUACAACUUUCAGCAACGGAUCUCUUGGCUCUC
rnacentral:misc_RNA from 1 species